ensembl:snoRNA
CCCUGGGCCUCUCAUAGUGCCUGCCCCAUGCCAGUGCAAACUGUUGCCUUGAAACCAUUGCCUACUCUUUAUGCCACAGGCUAUGGGUACUGAAGCAGUUUGCAGUUUG